GGCCUCGGAGGAGCCGUGCCCGCGGACCUCCCGAGCGCGGAUGCGGAAGGCGCUGGGGCUGGGAGGGGUCAGCCCCGCCCCGCCCCGCCCGGGACACGCGCUCACUCCCGCGGCGGACCCGGAACUGGUGCCAUCCGCGGGCCCUGCCCUGCCCUGCCCAGCCCAGCCCAGCCCAGAGAGAGUGCAGUGAGUGAACCUGAAAUGGAAAGCCGGUGCUGCUGCGUGUGGGACCUGGAGCAAGUCGCUGCACCUGAGCCCCGAUCUCUUUAAAAAGCCUUGGGCCAUGGCCAGUAUGCUUCAAUGGUACCUGGGAGAACUUGCAGCUGCCUCCUGCUGGACCAGAAGUAUUUGUAUCCUGACCAUCUGUGGGGUCUUGCUCAGAGUUAUAUGAAAGCCUCUCACAUGUGGGCCAGCUGUUGGAGUUUUUAUAUGCCUAUUUGGGAGAAUUCAUGUUUAGUUUAUUAAGCUGGCCAGCCAACCGCCCACCAGGCCUGGGAUGGUCUCUGCAAUGUGUGUAAGGCUGACCUUUCAGACUCAAAGAAUCAUCACCUCUUCCUCCUCCUUGGAGUAUUCUCUGACAAUCCCCUCAAAAGCUGUGUGGGGCCUGCUGAAUGUUCCCAUGGGAACCCCUGUACUGAAUACAUCUUAUCAAGUCACCUUUUCACUUCCAGCAGAGGAUCCAAGGGAAGACUCCAAGGUGGAAAAAGUCUGAAGCCCCAUCUAGGACAGUCCACUGAAAACAUCCAAUCAGAUAUGUCUCGGAGAAAAUAAACCAGUUUUGUAGUAAGCCACUAA